rnacentral:rRNA from 1 species
ACCUGGUCGAUUCUGCCGGACCCGACUGCUAUCAGAGUGGGACUAAGCCAUGCGAGUCAACAUAGCAAUAUGUGGCAUACGGCUCAGUAACACGUAGUCAACAUGCCCAGGGGACGUGGAUAACCUCGGGAAACUGAGGAUAAACCGCGAUAAGUCACUACUUCUGGAAUGGGUAAUGACUCAAAUCUAUAUGGCCCCUGGAUUGGACUGCGGCCGAUCAGGCUGUUGGUGAGGUAAUGGCCCACCAAACCUGUAACCGGUACGGGCUCUGAGAGGAGGAGCCCGGAGAUGGGCACUGAGACAAGGGCCCAGGCCCUAUGGGGCGCAGCAGGCGCGAAACCUCUGCAAUAGGCGAAAGCUUGACAGGGUUACUCUGAGUGAUUUCCGUUAAGGAAAUCUUUUGGCACCUCUAAAAAUGGUGCAGAAUAAGGGGUGGGCAAGUCUGGUGUCAGCCGCCGCGGUAAUACCAGCACCCCGAGUGGUCGGGACGUUUAUUGGGCCUAAAGCAUCCGUAGCCGGUUCUACAAGUCUUCCGUUAAAUCCAACUGCUUAACAGGUGGGCUGCGGAAGAUACUAUAGAGCUAGGAGGCGGGAGAGGCAAGCGGUACUCGAUGGGUAGGGGUAAAAUCCGUUGAUCCAUUGAAGACCACCAGUGGCGAAGGCGGCUUGCCAGAACGCGCUCGACGGUGAGGGAUGAAAGCUGGGGGAGCAAACCGGAUUAGAUACCCGGGUAGUCCCGGCUGUAAACGAUGCAGACUCGGUGAUGAGUUGGCUAUAUGCCAACUCAGUGCCGCAGGGAAGCCGUUAAGUUUGCCGCCUGGGGAGUACGGUCGCAAGACUGAAACUUAAAGGAAUUGGCGGGGGAGCACCACAAGGGGUGAAGCCUGCGGUUCAAUUGGAGUCAACGCCGGA